GCCUGCAUGCGUGAGUGAGUGUCUGCAUUAGUGAGUGAGUGCCUGCAUGCGUGAGUGAGUGCCUGCAUUAGUGAGUACUACUGUCGAUGCAAUGAUGCAUGACUGAUGACACCUCCAAUAUUUUUAGAGACAUGGAAUUGAGAGGUCAGACAGCCUGCUCUCUCCAAGUGAAAAUCCCUGCAGUGUUCCUUGGAGGAUCUUGGUCAAUUUAGCAGAAGAUUUAUAGUCAAUAGCUGUGACCUGAAACCAUUUAGCGGUUGACGGGAAUGUCUGUUUAGAACACAGGCAGGUUAGUAAACCAGGAAACCUACUGCGAUGUGUAAUGCAGGAAACCUCCUGUGAUGUGUAAUGCAGGAAACCUCCUGCGAUGUGUAAUGCAGGAAACCUCCUGCGAUGUGUAAACCAGGAAACCUCCUGCCAUGUGUAAUGCAGGAAACCUCCUGUGAUGUGUAAUACAGGAAACCUCCUGUGAUGUGUAAUACAGGAAACCUCCUGUGAUGUGUAAACCAGGAAACCUCCUGUGAUGUGUAAACCAGGAAACCUCCUGUGAUGUGUAAACCAGGAAACCUCCUGUGAUGUGUAAUGCAGGAAACCUCCUGUGAUGUGUAAACCAGGAAACCUCCUGUGAUGUGUAAUGCAGGAAACCUCCUGUGAUGUGUAAUGCAGGAAACCUCCUGUGAUGUGUAAUGCAGGAAACCUCCUGCGAUGUGUAAUGCAGGAAACCUCCUGUGAUGUGUAAACCAGGAAACCUCCUGUGAUGUGUAAUGCAGGAAACCUCCUGUGAUGUGUAAUGCAGGAAACCUCCUGUGAUGUGUAAUGCAGGAAACCUCCUGCGAUGUGUAAUGCAGGAAACCUCCUGUGAUGUGUAAUGCAGGAAACCUCCUGUGAUGUGUAAACCAGGAAACCUCCUGCCAUGUGUAAUGCAGGAAACCUCCUGUGAUGUGUAAUGCAGGAAACCUCCUGUGAUGUGUAAUGCAGGAAACCUCCUGCGAUGUGUAAUGCAGGAAACCUCCUGUGAUGUGUAAUGCAGGAAACCUCCUGCGAUGUGUAAUGCAGGAAACCUCCUGUGAUGUGUAAUGCAGGAAACCUCCUGUGAUGUGUAAUGCAGGAAACCUCCUGCGAUGUGUAAUGCAGGAAACCUCCUGUGAUGUGUAAACCAGGAAACCUCCUGUGAUGUGUAAUUCAGGAAACCUCCUGUGAUGUGUAAUGCAGGAAACCUCCUGUGAUGUGUAAUGCAGGAAACCUCCUGUGAUGUGUAAACCAGGAAACCUCCUGCGAUGUGUAAUGCAGGAAACCUCCUGCGAUGUGUAAUACAGGAAACCUCCUGUGAUGUGUAAACCAGGAAACCUCCUGCCAUGUGUAAUGCAGGAAACCUCCUGUGAUGUGUACCCUACUAUAAACUCUCUUGUUCCCUCUGUGUUGUGUUGAGCCUUGUAUACUGGGCCCUGUAUGUUACGCUGUGUGUUGUGUUGAGCCUUGUAUACUGGGCCCUGUAUGUUACGCUGUGUGUUGUGUUGAGCCUUGUAUACUGGGCCCUGUAUGUUACGCUGUGUGUUGUGUUGAGCCUUGUAUACUGGGCCCUGUAUGUUACGCUGUGUGUUGUGUUGAGCCUUGUAUACUGGGCCCUGUAUGUUACGCUGUGUGUUGUGUUGAGCCUUGUAUACUGGGCCCUGUAUGUUACGCUGUGUGUUGUGUUGAGCCUUGUAUACUGGGCCCUGUAUGUUACGCUGUGUGUUGUGUUGAGCCUUGUAUACUGGGCCCUGUAUGUUACGCUGUGUGUUGUGUUGAGCCUUGUAUACUGGGCCCUGUAUGUUACGCUGUGUGUUGUGUUGAGCCUUGUUUUCAGGGCCUUUACAAUACAACCCUGGGGAAUAGAGGUGCUGUCUGUAUGUCAGCCUCAGUGCUGUGUUGAGCCUUGUAUACAGAGGUAUAAAGGUGCUGUCUGUAUGUCAGCCUCAGUGCUGUGUUGAGCCUUGUAUACAGAGGUAUAAAGGUGCUGUCUGUAUGUCAGCCUCAGUGCUGUGUUGAGCCUUGUAUACAGAGGUAUAAAGGUGCUGUCUGUAUGUCAGCCUCAGUGCUGUGUUGAGCCUUGUAUACAGAGGUAUAAAGGUGCUGUCUGUAUGUCAGCCUCAGUGCUGUGUUGAGCCUUGUAUACAGAGGUAUAAAGGUGCUGUCUGUAUGUCAGCCUCAGUGCUGUGUUGAGCCUUGUAUACAGAGGUAUAAAGGUGCUGUCUGUAUGUCAGCCUCAGUGCUGUGUUGAGCCUUGUAUACAGAGGUAUAAAGGUGCUGUCUGUAUGUCAGCCUCAGUGCUGUGUUGAGCCUUGUAUACAGAGGUAUAAAGGUGCUGUCUGUAUGUCAGCCUCAGUGCUGUGUUGAGCCUUGUAUACAGAGGUAUAAAGGUGCUGUCUGUAUGUCAGCCUCAGUGCUGUGUUGAGCCUUGUAUACAGAGGUAUAAAGGUGCUGUCUGUAUGUCAGCCUCAGUGCUGUGUUGAGCCUUGUAUACAGAGGUAUAAAGGUGCUGUCUGUAUGUUAUCCUCAGUGCUGUGUUCCUCUGAUUGACAGGUGCUGUCUGUAUGUUAUCCUCAGUGCUGUGUUCCUCUGUUUGACAGGUGCUGUCUGUAUGUUAGCCUCAGUGCUGUGUUGAGCCUUGUAUACAGAGGUAUAAAGGUGCUGUCUGUAUGUCAGCCUCAGUGCUGUGUUGAGCCUUGUAUACAGAGGUAUAAAGGUGCUGUCUGUAUGUUAUCCUCAGUGCUGUGUUCCUCUGAUUGACAGGUGCUGUCUGUAUGUUAUCCUCAGUGCUGUGUUCCUCUGAUUGACAGGUGCUGUCUGUAUGUUAUCCUCAGUGUUGUGUUCCUCUGAUUGACAGGUGCUGUCUGUAUGUUAUCCUCAGUGCUGUGUUCCUCUGAUUGACAGGUGCUGUCUGUAUGUUAUCCUCAGUGCUGUGUUCCUCUGUUUGACAGGUGCUGUCUGUAUGUCAGCAUCAGUGCUGUGUUCCUCUGUUUGACAGGUGCUGUCUGUAUGUCAGCAUCAGUGCUGUGUUGAGCCUUGUAUACAGAGGUAUAAAGGUGCUGUCUGUAUGUUAGCCUCAGUGCUGUGUUGAGCCUUGUAUACAGAGGUAUAAAGGUGCUGUCUGUAUGUCAGCCUCAGUGCUGUGUUGAGCCUUGUAUACAGAGGUAUAAAGGUGCUGUCUGUAUGUCAGCCUCAGUGCUGUGUUGAGCCUUGUAUACAGAGGUAUAAAGGUGCUGUCUAUGUCAGCAUCAGUGCUGUGUUGAGCCUUGUAUACAGAGGUAUAAAGGUGCUGUCUGUAUGUUAUCCUCAGUGCUGUGUUCCUCUGAUUGACAGGUGCUGUCUGUAUGUUAUCCUCAGUGCUGUGUUCCUCUGUUUGACAGGUGCUGUCUGUAUGUCAGCAUCAGUGCUGUGUUGAGCCUUGUAUACAGAGGUAUAAAGGUGCUGUCUGUAUGUUAGCCUCAGUGCUGUGUUGAGCCUUGUAUACAGAGGUAUAAAGGUGCUGUCUGUAUGUCAGCCUCAGUGCUGUGUUGAGCCUUGUAUACAGAGGUAUAAAGGUGCUGUCUGUAUGUUAUCCUCAGUGCUGUGUUCCUCUGUUUGACAGGUGCUGUCUGUAUGUCAGCAUCAGUGCUGUGUUGAGCCUUGUAUACAGAGGUAUAAAGGUGCUGUCUGUAUGUUAGCCUCAGUGCUGUGUUGAGCCUUGUAUACAGAGGUAUAAAGGUGCUGUCUGUAUGUCAGCCUCAGUGCUGUGUUGAGCCUUGUAUACAGAGGUAUAAAGGUGCUGUCUGUAUGUCAGCCUCAGUGCUGUGUUGAGCCUUGUAUACAGAGGUAUAAAGGUGCUGUCUGUAUGUCAGCCUCAGUGCUGUGUUGAGCCUUGUAUACAGAGGUAUAAAGGUGCUGUCUGUAUGUCAGCCUCAGUGCUGUGUUGAGCCUUGUAUACAGAGGUAUAAAGGUGCUGUCUGUAUGUCAGCCUCAGUGCUGUGUUGAGCCUUGUAUACAGAGGUAUAAAGGUGCUGUCUGUAUGUUAGCCUCAGUGCUGUGUUGAGCCUUGUAUACAGAGGUAUAAAGGUGCUGUCUGUAUGUCAGCCUCAGUGCUGUGUUGAGCCUUGUAUACAGAGGUAUAAAGGUGCUGUCUGUAUGUUAUCCUCAGUGCUGUGUUCCUCUGAUUGACAGGUGCUGUCUGUAUGUUAUCCUCAGUGCUGUGUUCCUCUGUUUGACAGGUGCUGUCUGUAUGUCAGCCUCAGUGUUGUGUUCCUCUGAUUGACAGGUGCUGUCUGUAUGUUAUCCUCAGUGUUGUGUUCCUCUGAUUGACAGGUGCUGUCUGUAUGUUAUCCUCAGUGUUGUGUUCCUCUGAUUGACAGGUGCUGUCUGUAUGUCAGCCUCAGUGCUGUAAUCCUCUGAUUGACAGGUGCUGUCUGUAUGUUAUCCUCAGUGCUGUAAUCCUCUGAUUGACAGGUGCUGUCUGUAUGUUAUCCUCAGUGCUGUGUUCCUCUGUUUGACAGGUGCUGUCUGUAUGUCAGCCUCAGUGUUGUGUUCCUCUGAUUGACAGGUGCUGUCUGUAUGUUAUCCUCAGUGUUGUGUUCCUCUGAUUGACAGGUGCUGUCUGUAUGUUAUCCUCAGUGUUGUGUUCCUCUGAUUGACAGGUGCUGUCUGUAUGUCAGCCUCAGUGCUGUAAUCCUCUGAUUGACAGGUGCUGUCUGUAUGUUAUCCUCAGUGCUGUAAUCCUCUGAUUGACAGGUGCUGUCUGUAUGUUAUCCUCAGUGCUGUGUUCCUCUGUUUGACAGGUGCUGUCUGUAUGUUAUCCUCAGUGUUGUGUUCCUCUG